UUAUUCUUUUCUCAGGAAAAAAAAACCCUAACUCUUAAUCUGCUUAUCUUAGUAAAGAACUUCUCUUCAAUCGAUUAUUCUUCUUCACCACUAGCCGAAGCCAAGAUUUGUUCUAAUUCCAGGAGAGUUUUCAAGCAAUCAAUCAAGAAGGGUAAGGUUUUACAGUUCCAAGGGCUAAACCACCGAUUGUAGCUGCCGCUGGCUUUACCAUCUCUGUCGGAUUUCGACGUCUUCUUCGAUGAAUAGCACCACCAGAAGUCUCCUCUUCUCCCCUAUUAUGGAUAAUAAUUAGAGAGGUUAAAAUAGUAGUUAAAUUCUGUUUAUUCUGUUUGUUGAGUUAAUUAUGUAGCCAUGAAACGACAGGUUUUGGGGAGGGGUCUUUUAAUGAAUACGUUGCGUUUUAGGGGGAAAGCUUGGUUACUAAACGGGGAGUUUUGGGCACUUAGUUGUAACCGGAUGACAGCUGUAGAGGAGCGUCAAUCUUUUCCUUUUAAGCAAGCUCGUAGUACUGGGUUGUUAUGAAAAAGGAUAUUACGUUCUAAACUUCUUCUCUUUUCUCUCUAUUAUUUCUCUCAUUCUUCUUCCUCCUAUUCUAUUAUUUUCUUCCUAUCUUCUCUACCUCACAUCAUCCCCCUCUCUCGAUUCCUCGAAGCUCAAAGCCUAAAAACCUUUGAGUUCCUAUUGCCGCAAUCCGACGAGCUUCGAAGUCUUUUGUGUAGUCUGCCGCCAUUUACAUCGCCUUUCAUCAAUUGUUACAGACUCAAAUAACUCGUUGUCAGGGGAAAUUACUCCAACGUUAUACAAUUUUUAAUUCUGAAUUUAAAGGUAUCAAAACCAUAUGAGCGAUAGACUUGAACGGUGGCCAAAGUCUUGAAGGAGAAAC